rnacentral:rRNA from 1 species
UACGUAGGGGGCAAGCGUUGUCCGGAUUCAUUGGGCGUAAAGAGCGUGUAGGCGGCCAGGUAGGUCGGUUGUGAAAACUGGAGGCUCAACCUUCAGAGGUCGACCGAAACCAUCUGGCUAGAGUCCGGGAGAGGAGAGUGGAAUUCCUGGUGUAGCGGUGAAAUGCGCAGAUAUCAGGAAGAACACCCGUGGCGAAGGCGGCUCACUGGACCGGAACUGACGCUGAGGCGCGAAAGCGUGGGGAGCAAACAGG